rnacentral:lncRNA from 1 species
AUUUUAUUAAUUCAUAACUUGAUUGAGUCACAGUAAAGAGAUGCUUGCUAAAUUAUUACAUAGUAAGAUGAGUAGGUUUGGCCUUAAAAGUUUCUUAUUGUUGUGAAUAAUUAUUUGACUAAAAAGCAAUGAAGGACAAGCAGGCAAGUUAAGCUUUACACCACUUUCCAUCCAUUCCUGGAUCUUAAGUCAUGCUGCUUGUCACGGACAUUCAGGAUUAGAAUCACAGAAUUUGUUCUACAAGCCAAAGCCACAAUAAAACCACUUACCAAUAAAAGUAAGUACAGAAGAAAUGCAGUAGCAGUAAUCUAACAGGAGAUGCAUCAUCUGUUCUUUUGCUGAUACCAUCUAGGAUGGAAGAAAUGGGACAUGACAAGAAGAUCCCCAAAGCCAAUGAACAGAAAGGAUACUGGUAAUGAUGGACCACAAACUCCAAAA